CCUACGGGAGGCAGCAGUGGGGAAUUUUGGACAAUGGGGGCAACCCUGAUCCAGCCAUGCCGCGUGAGUGAAGAAGGCCUUCGGGUUGUAAAGCUCUUUCAGGUGGAAAGAAAUCUCCUGGGUGAAUACCCCGGGAGGAUGACGGUACCAUCAGAAGAAGCACCGGCUAACUACGUGCCAGCAGCCGUGGUAAUACGUAGGGUGCGAGCGUUAAUCGGAAUUACUGGGCGUAAAGCGUGCGCAGGCGGUUGUGUAAGACAGAUGUGAAAUCCCCGGGCUCAACCUGGGAACUGCGUUUGUGACUGCACAACUAGAGUACGGCAGAGGGAGGUGGAAUUCCGCGUGUAGCAGUGAAAUGCGUAGAAGAUGCGGAGGAACACCGAUGGCGAAGGCAGCCUCCUGGGCCAGUACUGACGCUCAUGCACGAAAGCGUGGGGAGCAAACAGGAUUAGAUACCCUGGUAGUCCACGCCCUAAACGAUGUCAACUAGUUGUUCGGUGAGGAGACUCAUUGAGUAACGCAGCUAACGCGUGAAGUUGACCGCCUGGGGAGUACGGCCGCAAGGUUAAAACUCAAAGGAAUUGACGG
rnacentral:rRNA from 1 species